CACGCUGUAAACGGUGGGUACUAGGUGUGGGAUCCUUUCCGUGGGUUCUGUGCCGUAGCUAACGCAUUAAGUACCCCGCCUGGGGAGUACGGCCGCAAGGCUAAAACUCAAAGGAAUUGA
rnacentral:rRNA from 1 species